GGAAAAGAUUCUGUUUCUGGCUCUGAUUCGGCUUCGGAUUUGGGUUCGGAAUCGAAAUCGGAAUCUCUGGGGAUGCAGAGCGACGCUCUGCCGAGCCUCUGCCGGCGCUGGUUGUUCAGCAUUCAAUUUAAAAUCGUUUAGCGCGUAUACUGCCGGAAUCGUUGCUCCUAACUAAUUGAAUUGAGCGAAUUUAAAUAUUUGAAAGAAAGUGUGUGGCGCAGAAGGAAAACAACUCUUUUAGUUACACAUUCGAUAAGAAACGUAACCGAGGACCAUAAAUGAUUUCGCAAAAGUGUUCACGAUAAGGUUUUUAUGGACUUCUGAUAUGAUAUGGCGUAGUUCUUAGAGAAACACCUGGAAAGCACAAGUGAAUUAAGUCAACUUUAUAGAGAAAUAUUGUCACUUGUCGAUUGUUUUAAGAGACAAAGUAUUCGCCAAACAAUAUAAUCAGUGAUUCUAUUUUUAAAUCAUUUUGAAAAACAUGCCACUUGCCGAGAAUUUUCUAUAAUUCGUACACUAACCUCUGACUUGGCUUAUCAGUCGGCUAGUCGGAAAGUUUUACCAGGUCAUCAGACACCUUGGGAUCAACACGAUUUGGUCUGUUGUAAUAUGGAAUGGCUUUUGAAUCACCCAGCAACCCAUUCAGCACCGCGAUAAGAGAUUUGCCAAGCAGAUCCCAGUCGCACCCCAGUUGGCUCGAAUUGGAAGCCAGUGGACUAGACUCCAUCCUGCAUUAGUCCAGUUCACCAGCACUUUUCAAAGUCACUUGUCUUUGGCGGAGUGGAGUGGAGUGGAGAACACCGAGAAAGUUGUUGGCCUGGCUGAACCCGCACUCGGCCAAAACCAAGUCAAGGUAUGGUAUUCUUUUAAAGAGACUGGUUAUAUUUCUUGCGCAUAUGCAUGGAAAAACCUCUGCGGCUGACUUUUCAAUUGUUUGGUGCUAUUAUCGUUUCGGAUUUAUCUGCAUAAAUUGGGCCAACACAUCAGAGGUUAACCCGUUUAGCUCUCAAUCAUAUACACAAUAUCAAUUUGAAUGCACAGAGGCGGGCGGGACAAAGCGAAUCGCAUUCGCCAGGGCAACUAUGAAAAUUGAAAAACCCCAUUUUAUCAUGGCGAACACGUACGGGAAGAGCACAAAUUCCACAGCAGCUACAGAACUCCGGCAGAAACAACAAUCAGGCGGGAACAAUAUUUACUGCGUGCGCACCAAAGUAUGCAGCAAGAAAAAUCACAAAUGCAGGAUGAUAACAGGAUGACAAAGGACAUCAAGGGGGGUGGAGUGGAGUGGAAGGAGCUGGAGCAGUGAGCAGCGAGCACGAUGACAAUGUUGAAAAUGACAACUUGGCAACAAUUAUAUUCCAGGACGAGUGUGGGCGGCUGUGUGUUGGCCCGCAUAUGAACAAGAAAAUGGAAACAACAAUGUCAACAGUAUCAACAUGGCGUAUGAGCAACGUUCAAUUGGAAACCCAUUCGAUUCAAGUGGCAACAAUGCGAUAAACUGUUCCAGCAUCCAGCAACAACGUUUUGCAUUUGCCCAUUCAUUGGUAGAUUGUGCAGGAAAUUGAGGGCGCGGUGUGCCAGAUGCCAACAACUUAAGUGCUCUGCAUACACAAAUAUGAAUAUAAAAACUGUUUUAAAUAUAAUUUGGGCACAACUCGCCCGCCCUCUCAAUGAUGGGAGGGAAAAAAACUCCCGUUUGGAGGAUAAAAAUUCCAUAACUUGCUACUAAAAUGCAAAUUUUGCAGAAACUUUGCCCGAGCAAAGUGAAUGCAUUCCCACUUGCAGGCAAUCAACGUGGCAAAUAAAAACACCCGGGCUCUUCACCUAUUUAUCUUUAUCACCCCGGCUUUACCCACCGAAUUAGCAGGAACGUCACACAUCGCACGCAACGGCUAUAAAUUGCAGUAUUUGCCUCAAACUGAAACUUAUGCGAACAACUGGGUAAACAGUCACCAGGACUCCGGGACUCGAGGAACUCAGGAUCCAAGGACUGCAAGACAGCAGGAAAAAACAAAGUGCUAAAGGUGCGUCCCACCACCCAUAAAGUCGCCUCUGAAGAGCUGCUUUCAUAUCGGAUGGGGGGCAGCAUUAGUGGACCGACGUUGAAGGAAUCGCUGGAGGCGACUAAUGGAGGUACAGCAACAAUCGCAGAGUCACAAGUCGCUGGGAAAAGCCCCUCGGGACUUUCACAAUGAUUUCCAAGCCUUUGAAUGCCGGACUUUUGAGAGAAAUUUCUCUUGUUAAUAGGGUAAACGAGUUAUUUUCGCAUUAAGUAGUUUUAUAAUCAUGAAUUUACUUUUCAUUGAAUAAGUUUCAACUAUAAUUUAUCUCAACUCGCAUUUGUAAUUAUUCUGAUUUGUAUAAAAUAAUAUUGUAAUCACUUAAACCCCCUCAGAUAGUCACCACUUCCCUGGGCUUCCCUUCUAAGCGUAGAGUAUCUCAAGAACUAUUGAAAUAAAUACCAACAAAUGGGCCAAAGCGUCAUUCGUGCUCCAUUUCCAAGUUGCGUUCGAAACUUUUGCGUUGCACUUGCAGCACACUUCCUCUCGCCGCCCAGCGCCACCCACUUUGUUGCCAUUUUGGUUGCAUUUGAGCGGGUGGCUGAGGGGGUGGAAAUAAAAACACUAAAAAUAUAAAAAACAAAAGUGGGCAGGACAGGGGCGUGCGAUAAGCCAAGCACACAAAUAAGAUUACAACGCCCGUGCAAAGCGGGGGCAACAAUAAUAAAAGCGAAAGAAAUACUAGCACUAAAAACGCGAAACCAAAAACUUUUUUUAAAUGCAGUCAAAAGCAAAAGUUCAAGCUAACCAGGAGAAAAAGGCAGAAACUAACCGAAAUGAAAAUAGAAGGCAAAGUUAAAACCGCCGAACACAAAAAAAUUAUUGAGAAAGCGUGAAAAGAGGAAAGUCGCUAGCGAACGGGCAGCGGAAAAAGUGUUGAGAGCAAAGGGCCAAGUUAACUAGAAAACGGCCAACAGCUAGAGUCAUCCAAAAACGGCGGCAAGAGAAGUAGCCGCCGCUAAGAAAGUUAAUCCUGCAAUCAGUUUCAGUUCUACAUGCCGCUGCAACAAUGACACUUCGAGAAAAAGCACAUAGCUUUAUUUAAAUCAUUUACAAAAUAGUUAAGGGUUUUAAGAGUCAGCAAGGAAAUUAAAGCAUUUGCAUUUCUUAGUUUUCAGUGUUUUAAGCACUCCUAUCGUUUUGAGUUUCCUACUAUUCAAACUAUGCUGAACUAUAGGAUGAUUGUUCGGAGUGCAGUUGAAAGUACUCCGCAAUUACACAGGCCAAUGCCGAAAAUGGCCCACAAUUGACCAGCUAAUUUCCCGAAAAUUUAGCCCACUUGCCUCCCAGAAAAAGGAUUCAAGAGGAGCAGGAGGAGGUGGAGAACAGGCCUUGUGUCAAGGACAAACGUUUUGGGGACAGCGAGCUCAGCUGGGCAGGCUGCCAAAAAAAAAAAGGAAGGAAAAGGGAGGCACAAAGAGUUGCUCCUGUUGAGCCCCAAACAUUUUGCCGAAAGAUAAAUGAGAGUUGGACUUGCAGCUGGUCCCGGUCCUUGCUGCUCCUCUGGCCACGACUUUUGGCCAAGGACGACAAGGACAUCAUCAACACAUGGCCGUAACUGCUGUCGCUGCUGCAAUUUAUGUAAAUUGCGGGCUAGUCGAAAGAGCCAGUGCCAGAGAGAGAGUUGUAUGCCAAAAAGGCGAGAUCAGAGAGUUAAGCAAUUGCCACUUGCGACAACGCUGCGUAUGUGCGAUUUCCCUAGGCCUUCCUGCUGCCCUUGCCAACUGCAAAUGAAUUUCAAUUUUGCAUUUCGAAAAGCAUUCCCAGGGGGCGUGAAGUUUUUCAAUUAGUUGACCAACUUGCACUUUUGCCGCUCGCAGGCAAAUUGUUUCUUUUUUCCAGCCUGAAAUUAUGCAAUUUAUUUCAGUUCAUCCGAAAGUUCCAUGCGCCUGAUAAAAUCAUUUUUCCAGCCCUGAAGUUAUGUUAAUUGUACAGGCGAUAAUCAUGGGGAGAUUGUACUUUACACAAAGGACUCUCGAAAGCAUGAGGGUCCCAUAGUUGGGGCGCAUUUUCCUUUUGAAGGGGGAAAUUGUGCAGAAAAGUAUGCCAUAACAACUGGGUGGAAAACUUUUGAGUUUACUGCACCACUUCUCUUUGGGGGAUUAAAUCAAUUGGUUACAUUUUAUUUCGGUAUGUGGAAGCAAUGCCACAAUGUCAUGUCAUGUCAUCUCAGUCUAUUUACUGGCAUUUACUGCUUUUUAUUUCCAGGACAAAUCCUUGACUUAUCCGAUCCCACAUUAACUCAUUUCCUGCUGCUGUCACUUGAACGUAAAAGCAGACACUCGUACAAUUUAACUAAGCACAGAAACCACUUGCACAAUGCACUUAUAGCCCACCAUUCAUUUCCCAGCCACCCACUCAGGCAGCACCAUCCUCUAUCCCAAAAACCACCCGCCCACACCCCCUGUGGCUUAAGUCGCCACCUCAAUUUAAAUAAGCUUAAAAGCGCAGCGAAGACCAAAGGCAAACUUGACUGAAAUGCAUUUCCCCACCCCGAGAUUUUUCCACCGUCACCGAAAAAGCCAAGGGGGAAAACCCAGAGAUUCGGGCGGGGAAAAGCCAGCAUAUUGAAUGCCAAAUGAGCGAUUAGCACUUGUCGCCCUGUUGAUGCCUUUGGCAAUGUCGUCCAGGAUGUGACGAUGAUGGAGGCGAUGGGAUAGAGCGCUGGGAUUCCCCGUUUGUUGGUUUUUGUGAUUGCGCUCGAAUUACACUUAACACAAUUUUCAUUUGAAUAAACUAAAUGAAAUGCACGGCCAAAGGAGACGGGCUGCAUAAUCAGCAAAAAACUCAUUAAAAUGUUUAAUCAGGAAAAUGGGUGGCAAGUGAAGUUGUCAAAUGGUGGUCUAUUCAAAUUAGUUGUUCUUAGUAAGAUCAAUGUUUCAAAGGUUUUGUUGAUUUACCGUAACACUUAUUUAAAGUAGCAAUGACUAUUUGGCAAAUGAAUCUAAUAAAAUUUUGAUUAACAUAAUACGCAGUCAAACGCAUGACAAUUUUAUUAAAUACCAUACCAUAUAAUCAAAUAUUAAUUUUAUACCGAUGUGAAAGCCUUGUGUAACUAUUUAGAUUAUCACAAAGAGUAACUUUGUAAAUAAACUGUGUAUCAAUCAUUGAACUGUUUGUUCGUAAUUAAAUGUGAUAAAAUUAACCGUAAAAGCCCCAUUCCGAAUAUCCUUGAAAUACACGAGUAUGUCAAACCACAAAAGCGUCCUGUUGGCAAACAAAUCAUAGGCAGGAGAGGGCCAGGACCAAUUGCCAUUAAUGCAUGCGAUGGGAAAACUACGGAAACUGGCCAAUUGGACCAAUUGGUGAAGGGGGUCAUCAUAGACAUCGCUCUGGUUAGCCGUAAGUACGACUGCCUAUUGACACACCGAAGUCGGAAAAUUGAAAACUGGCCACUAACGAGACUUACGACGCAUGUGUUGCGACUCUCCGACACGACAGACGUCUAAUUAAAAGAUAACAAGGCACUGAUAAUGCCAGUCAUAACCGGAUAUAUCCUCGCAAUGGGAUCCGUUCGUCAUCAUCAUCAUAAUCGGAACGGCGGCAAAAUGUCAUCAGCAGGCAGAAAAGUGCCAGCGAUGGCGAACAUUAAAUAUUGAUAAUAAUAUUUUUCACCUACCAAACGGCGGCGCACUGUGUUGACACUUCAGCAGUUCCUCCUGCUCCUCCAGCUGCAGUUCCACUGGCAACUCGGGACGACUUAAAGUUUAAUUAAAACUUAUUUCCUGCGCCCGAGCACGAAAAUGUUAAUUAAAACGAUGUUCGGCGAGAGAUUGCCUCACAUUUCGUGCGUUUUUCAGCCUUUGCCACUUUAUUUUUGCCAGCCAAAACGGAUUUCGUUUCGC